GCUGAAACAGCAAGGCUUGGGCAAGCAAAAGAAGAGACAGAGAGAGAUAGCCGAGCAUCAUGCCAAAUGGAGGCCGAUUUCCAAGGAAGCUCACUAAGACCAGUAGUGACUCUGGCGCAAACGUCAAACGCCUUGAGCAAGAGACGAACAUAAAGAUCGAACAGCUGAAGCAGCAGGUAGCAAACAUCUCUCUAGAGGUGAUUCAGAUGCUUCUGAGAUGCUGGAACAUGCUUCCGUUUUCCUGACUCGUAUAGCAGAAUCGUUUGCUUCAUCUCCAGAGAAACUGGAUCAAUUGUGCAACCAUGGAUAGGCUGCACAAGCUCCUAGCUUAAUACUCCCUCCGCCCAAAAUAAGUGUCUCAACUUUGUACUAACUUUAGUACAAAGUUGUACUAAGCUUAUGACACUUAUUUGGGACCGAGGGAGUAGUUGUUAGCAACUGGGCGGGACAAGCAUCACUGGGGAGUAAUUGUUCUGUCAAUAUGUGCAAGUGGAUCUUCAAUGGCAGCUAAAACUCUCCUCCUCCAUGGAAUUAGUGGCACACUUAAGAUAUCCUUUCAGGUUCUGGUUUGGUUGCUGGUACAACUGUAUCCCCCACUAGGCCAGCU